rnacentral:rRNA from 1 species
AGUGAACGCUGGCGGUAGGCCUAACACAUGCAAGUCGAACGGCAGCACAGUAAGAGCUUGCUCUUACGGGUGUCGAGUGGCGGAUGGGUGCGGAAUACAUCGGAAUCUAUUUUUUCGUGGGGGAUAACGUAGGGAAACUUACGCUAAUACCGCAUACGACCUACGGGUGAAAGCAGGUGAUCUUCCGUCCUUGCGCGAUUGAAUGAGCCGAUGUCGGAUUAGCUAGUUGGCGGGGUAAAGGCCUACCAAGGCGACGAGCCGUAGCUGGUCUGAGAGGAUGUUAGGCCACAUUGGAACGGCAAGCUGAUUAUGACGCCUACGAGAGGAUGCAGUGUGUAAUAUCGGACAAAGGGGGCAAGCCUAAUUCAACCCUACCGCGUGCGUCAAUGCGGCGUUUCGGUUGGCAAACCCUUAUGCGGGGAAAGAAAAUCAACAGGAUACUACCCCGCUGUACUGACGGUACUCAGAGAAUAAGCACCGGCUAACUUCGUG